rnacentral:rRNA from 1 species
UAGGGAAUCUUCCACAAUGGACGCAAGUCUGAUGGAGCAACGCCGCGUGAGUGAAGAAGAUCUUCGGAUCGUAAAGCUCUGUUGUAAGAGAAGAACGUGUGUGAGAGUGGAAAGUUCACACAGUGACGGUAACUUACCAGAAAGGGACGGCUAACUACGUGCCAG